rnacentral:lncRNA from 1 species
CUGAAGGCCACGUCUGCUCCUGUGGCUGGGUAUCCCCCGGGCUGGCUGGAAUAACCACCGCUUGUGUCAUCGAAGAGGGGAGGGGGAUCCGGGGCUGCCCGGGCCCUGUGCUUGGAGCCGUGGGCUCCGUAGCCCGAGUGAUAAGCCAUGGCCGCGACGCUCGCUGUCCCCGAGGGCCCGCUGCGCCGCCUCGUGGGUACGAAUA